rnacentral:rRNA from 1 species
CAGUAGCCGCGGGAAUACGUAGGGUGCAAGCGUUAAUCGGAAUUACUGGGCGUAAAGCGUGCGCAGGCGGUUAUAUAAGACAGAUGUGAAAUCCCCGGGCUCAACCUGGGAACUGCAUUUGUGACUGUAUAGCUAGAGUACGGCAGAGGGGGAUGGAAUUCCGCGUGUAGCAGUGAAAUGCGUAGAUAUGCGGAGGAACACCGAUGGCGAAGGCAAUCCCCUGGGCCUGUACUGACGCUCAUGCACGAAAGCGUGGGGAGCAAACAGGAUUAGAGACCCGGGUAGUCCCUGUCUCUUAUAC